GGGCGAUUAGCUCAGUUGGAGAGCACCUCCUUACAAGGAGGGGGUCACUGUUCUAGUUUUCGCUCA
rnacentral:tRNA from 1 species